CCUACGGGGGGCAGCAGUGGGGAAUAUUGGACAAUGGGGGCAACCCUGAUCCAGCCAUGCCGCGUGUGUGAAGAAGGCCCUCUGGUUGUAAAGCACUUUCAGUGAGGAAGAACGCCUGGUGGUUAAUACCCAUCAGGAAAGACAUCACUCACAGAAGAAGCACCGGCUAACUCCGUGCCAGCAGCCGCGGUAAUACGGAGGGUGCGAGCGUUAAUCGGAAUUACUGGGCGUAAAGCGCGCGUAGGUGGCUUGAUAAGCCGGUUGUGAAAGCCCCGGGCUCAACCUGGGAACGGCAUCCGGAACUGUCAAGCUAGAGUGCAGGAGAGGAAGGUAGAAUUCCCGGUGUAGCGGUGAAAUGCGUAGAGAUCGGGAGGAAUACCAGUGGCGAAGGCAGCCUUCUGGACUGACACUGACACUGAGGUGCGAAAGCGUGGGUAGCAAACAGGAUUAGAUACCCCUGUAGUC
rnacentral:rRNA from 1 species